rnacentral:rRNA from 1 species
UACAGAGGUCUCAAGCGUUGUUCGGAUUCAUUGGGCGUAAAGGGUGCGCAGGUGGCGCGGCAAGUCGGAUGUGGAAAUCCCCGGGGCUCAACCCCGGAACUGCAUUCGAUACUGCCGUGCUAGAGUGCGGGAGAGGAAAGUGGAAUUUCUGGUGUAGCGGUGAAAUGCGUAGAUAUCAGGAGGAACACCGGUGGUGUAGACGGCUUUCUGGACCGUAACUGACGCUGAGACACGAAAGCGUGGGUAGCAAACAGG